AGUCGCAGGCAUGUUUCAAUGCCUAGGCCGGCCUGACAUUGUUAUAUUUUAUGAGCUCAAUCUUUUGCACGGAUGAUUUUUAAAAUCAGAACAACACGCUUGCUUGUUGCAAUGCUUGUUCCGCGAGCCCUGACUCCACCAGCCUAUCGCGAAAUGCUGGAUCAACGGGAAGAUCAAGCCUUCUGAUGAGAACGGUGUGGCGUCGUGUACAUUUCUGUGUGGCGAUCUUCGCGGCAUGGAUGCGCACUGCAACGGCCGAAGAAGACGAGGACUGGUGCUUAGCCGACCCGACUACAAUGGGGACAAGCCAACAACGUUGUGCCCCAAUCUCCCCUUCGUUUGCGUGAUGUACAUGGUGGCCCAGCUAACAGUUAAGCCACGUUUUUAAGUGACGAGUGUGUUUAUCGCACAACAGAGACUGUGGUGGCGUUCGAACGCCAACUCACUGGCUAAACACGAUCAACAACAGUGGUGGUCAUCAGAAAUCUCGGGUCCGUUAAAUCUUGACUCCACAGAUGGCCCCGGGCGGUCCAGGAUGCGCGGCGGCCGAACCCGAUGCAGGCGGUCGAUUGGUCGCUCGAUCUCGUUGAAGGUGAAGCGUCCCAUCUUAAGACUGAUGGCGACCUCCACCUCUUGAAGGUUCACUGGCUUCCACUUCCACUUAGCGCGGUCCUUGGGCAAUUGUACUGCAUGAAGUUCACGGGCGACGGGUCGGGGGAGUCAAGAGCCAAGAGCUUUGCAGUAUUCAGGCUGGUAUGCCCCGAGAGCGAUGCCCCUCCAUCCAGCUCAGUGAGGCCAGUGCCGUAAUCGGUAUCGAUUCGUCCUGCUUGAGCCACCAGCCGUUUCAAUCAGUGAGGCGAAUCUGCAGAAGAGCCGCUCCAAACUUGACAUUGAAGCAUCCCGAAAAUUAUAUUAACAGGAUUUCAGUUAUCGUCUUAAAUAAGAAGUGCCCAAUCAGAGGCUGCCUCUUCCACAAGACAUCAUGCACCGUGACAGUAAGAGGCGCCGAAUCAGAGGCUGCCUCUUCCACAAGACAUCAUGCACCGUGACAGUCCU